rnacentral:pre_miRNA from 1 species
GCGGUGAACGGCGAUGGCAUCACACCCAGUGCUGGAGAUGUCAUCACGUGCUACCGCGUUCCAUGAUGUCAUCCUCCAGCACCACGCGUGUCCAUCGGGAAAGAUGGAACGGC